rnacentral:lncRNA from 1 species
UUUUUUUUUUGCUUUUUUUCAACUGUCCACUCCCUGAAAUAUUACUGUUUUCUUGGAUUCUGUCUUUGACCCCUUCUCGUCUUAUGUAUCUUUUUCAAGUGUCCUCAUCUGCUCUCUUGGUUUAAAAUACUGCCUGUAUAUUGAUGACUCCUUCAUCUCUCUGUGGCUCAAACUUCUCUGCUGAACUCCAGACCCAUAUACCCACCUUUACAUUGGGCAUUUCCACUUGGGUGGAGUCUUUUUGUACUCAUAUGCCUUGUACUGAACUUUUUCUCUUCUGGUUUCGACUCCUUUAUUCUCUACUUUGGUUGGUAGCAUCA